GGGGAAUAUUGCACAAUGGGCGAAAGCCUGAUGCAGCAACGCCGCGUGAGGGACGACGGCCUUCGGGUUGUAAACCUCUUUUAGCAGGGAAGAAGCGAAAGUGACGGUACCUGCAGAAAAAGCGCCGGCUAACUACGUGCCAGCAGCCGCGGUAAUACGUAGGGCGCAAGCGUUAUCCGGAAUCAUUGGGCGUAAAGAGCUCGUAGGCGGUUUGUCGCGUCUGCUGUGAAAACCCGAGGCUCAACCUCGGGCCUGCAGUGGGUACGGGCAGACUAGAGUGCGGUAGGGGAGAUUGGAAUUCCUGGUGUAGCGGUGGAAUGCGCAGAUAUCAGGAGGAACACCGAUGGCGAAGGCAGAUCUCUGGGCCGUAACUGACGCUGAGGAGCGAAAGGGUGGGGAGCAAAC
rnacentral:rRNA from 1 species